AUGUUUGCCCUUGCUGUUCUACUCCAUGAGCAACAGAACUCACCAGGAACUACCUUUCUUUUUCACAGCUCUCUUCAGUGCCUACCUGGGAGCAGCAGUGACCCACAUGUUGUCUGUGUUUGGGGUGCCAUCAGGAACCUGGCCCUUUUGCUUGUCUGCGCUGACAUUCCUGCUAAUGACCACAAACCACUCUGCAAUCCAAAAGCUGCCACUCUCCAAAGUCACCUACCCAGAAGCCAACCGAGCUUAUUAUCUGAUGAUGAAGAAACAUGAGAGGUCUUGCUGUGAGGCAUAGAGACACAAGAAUAGAGAUACUCAGCAGAUUUUAAGGCAAGAGCACGAGGUAUUUCCCCAACAGACUGUGAUUUGUGUGCUACAAAGUCCAACACCACCUUCUGCGUGGAGAGACUUUUUCCACCGCAUCUGUUUGUUCUAUUAAGAAGAUUUCUAUUAGGUAGGACUGUGCUUUGCUGGAAAGAUCUUUCCCAAGAUCAAUCUGUAGUGAUUUUAAAGCACACAUGUCUGAAAAGACACUUGAAUUAUAAGCAGCAGGAAAAAUGACUUAUAAGCGGAAAAGAAAAAUCUCUGUGAAAUUGAAGACACAGCAAUCAGACGUAAAGAAAUAAAGAGCAUCUUUCAGCAUCUGAGGGGACUUCAAAUUAAUGGCUAAAACUAGCUUAUGACAGCAAAGCAUCUUAGAGAGUUUCACUGUAGCAGAGAAAUGGAAUAAAGAGCACCCUUUGCCAAGUAAAAAAUAGAUUGUGAAGGAUUCUACCUGGAGGGCCUCUGAAACCCCGUGGAGAGAGAUGUUCAUUAGCAAUCAUCAAACAUAAGACGGACAUGAUUUUUGUGAUUUUUGUCUUAAUCUCAUGAUUUCUCUUAAUACUUGAACUUGGUGAUGGGUUAGCAAAGGAGGGGACAGCAAGAGAGUCAUUGCUGCCCCUUUUCUAUGCAAUAAAAUGGGUCUGUUCAGUCAAUGCACAGAUAGAACUAAUUUGAGCUGUUCUUAACCUUUCUCCCUACACUGCCUCCCUCAGCCCACGAAUAUCAAACAGCAAAAUGCUGUACUGUCCCAGCCUGCUGUUAAAGCUCAGGAGGCUCAGGGGGGACCCUGUGGCUCUGCACAACUCCCUGACAGGAGGGGGCAGCCGGGGGGGCUCAGACUCUGCUCCCAGAGAACAGGGACAGGAUGAGAGGAAACAGCCUCAAGUUGUGCCAGGGGAGGUUUAAAUUGGAUAUUACGGAUAAUAUCUUCAUAGGAAUUGUUAUCAAGCCUAGAAACAGGCUGUUUGGGGCAGCACUGGAGUCCACCUCCCUGGAGGGUUUUAAAGGCCUUGAGAUUGUGGCACUUGGGGACAUGAGUUAGUGGUGGCCUUGGCAUCAAUUCUGUGAUUCUGUGAAGCUGCUGCUCUGCCAUUUCUCUCUGCCUCACAGUGGGAAGGGGAUGUUUGAGGACCACUCCAGCAGAGCUCUGCAGGACACCAGCCAUGUGCCGCCUCUGUCCAGGCUCCCAGGGUACGCAGGUAGGGAAGGGGGAAGCUGGCCUUGCACCCAGCAGUGCUGAUCACCUCAACAGGCAUUAACUGUGCCACCUUUCUGCCUGGCUCACUGACAUACUCUGUCUCAUGUUGAAGCUGAUACCUUCACCAAAAAUAUUGCAUAUGCUCAGGUCGUUCAGCUGACAGGAGCCUACACGCAGUGACAUCACUCCAGGAAAAGCAAAUCGAAACCUGUUUUUCUUGUAGCAGGUGAAAUAAAAUCUAACAUUAUUUUUGAGUUUGGGAAGGGAAAAAAGCCCCCAAACCAUGUAUUUUUGCAUACAUCACAAAGUUCUGAGUGUAAAAUAUUUGUGAUGAACUGUUGGCAGUAUCUUCUGGUGAAGUUUUAGGUUUUCAGAUGUUCAACAGUAUUUCUGUAUGACUGACACUCACUUGUAAAAUGUAGCAUUUCCAUGAUUUACUUAAUAAAUAUCUACAUAAUAUUCUGUGGGGUUAAUUUCUCAAACAAACAUUCAUACUUUUUUGAGUUCGGUAUAAGUUCCUCUCUAUUUGUUAUCAUUAAGUUCUCCCAAAGAUAGGUUACCUCUUAGACAAGUAGUGUAGAAGACAUAGGAAAACAAAAUUUUUAAAUCAGUGUGUGUGGGAUGCAUAGGAAACUUUUAAGUUCUGCUCUUUGUGCUUAUCACAGAAUCAUAGAAUAACAAAAUUAUUUGGGUUGAAAGGGUCCUUGUUACACCUCCCUGCCAUGGGCAGGGACACCUCCCGCUAUCCCACAUUGCUCCAAGCCCUGUCCAACCUGGCCUUGGACACUUCCAGGGAUCCAGGGGCAGCCACAGCUGCUCUGGGAAACCUGUGCCAGGGCCUCACCACUCUCACAGGGAAGAAUUCCUUCCUAACACCCCAUCUAACCCUGCCCUCUGUUGGUGUAAAGCCAUUCCCCCUGUCCUGCCAUUUGAGGCUUAGCCAAAAUCCUCUUCCAGCUCUCUUGGAGCCCAUUUAGGCACUGGCAGGGGCUCUAAGGUCUCCUCAGAGCCUUCUCUUCUCCAGGAUGAACACCUCCAGCUCUCUCGGUCUUUUGGCAUUUUGCUGCAUCAAACCUUCUUAAACAAGGUGCAAGUUCUGCACAGGAGGCAGGAUCAGCCCAAGGCAUAGCACUGGGCCAACAGAGCUGUAAGCAGAGCUACAAAAUCCUCCUCCAGACCAGGCAGUGAUUCAUUCCUAGGGAGAUGCUGGACAGGCCCCCAGACUGGGGUUAGAUGAGGUCGUGUUCUAUCUAGAACAUACCUGGAGCAGGACCAGAGGGCCAUAGAGAUGCCCUGGGGUCUGGAGUCCCUCUGCUCUGGAGCCAGGCUGGGAGAGCCUGCACAAGAGAAGGCUUUGGGCAGAUCUUAUUGUGGCUUCUCAGUACUUAAAGAUCUCUUUAAGAAAGAUGUGGACAAACUUUUUAUCAGGGCCUGUUGCGAUGGGAAAAGGGGCAAUGGUUUUAAACUAAAAGAGGAUCAAUUCUGACCAGAUAAAAAGAAGAAACUUUUUAUGGGUAGGGUGGUGAGGCACUGGCACAGGUUUCCCAGAGAUAUGAUGGAUGCUCCAUCCCUGGAAAAAGUCAGGGUCCAGUUGGACAGGUCUCUGAGCCACUUGGUGUAGUGGAAGAUGUCCCUGCUCAUUGUAGGGUGUUGGACUGAUGACCUUUAGGUGUCCAGCACAACCCAAACCAUUCUCUGUUUCUAUGCUUUACCAAAACAUAAUGUAAAAGGGUAUUUUAAUGUCUGAACUGAGAUCUCCCACCCAGGACCAUGCCCGGAGAGGCAAAUCUACAAAGGCCGCUUUCACUCAUGUCAAAAUGUGCACCCGAAUAAGAGAACAUAAUUUAUGUCCAGUGUAAAUCAGCAGAUUUCCUCUGACUGGUGGUAUUCCAGCCUGCUGUUGCUGAGCAACAGGGACAUUUUGGCAGUACCAUAAAGAAAUCAUAUGCACAGAACUGAAAAACAACCAAAGAUUAAGGCCAUGUCCCAGCCAUUUAGAAAGAUUUUGCACAUCGUUCAGAAUUAAUUCUACAUUUUACACUAUCUGGAGAAUUUAUUCUUCCCAUGUUAACAGCUAUUUGGAGAUUUGACAUGUAAGUCAGUCAGAACACGCAUAUUAUGCUUUUUCCCAUUAUCGUUCAAAACACUGUCUUUGCUAACAGAACUAAUUUAUCUCAUUACUGAAACCUUUCUCUUUUUUUUUUUUUUUGUCUUUACAUCAAAU
ensembl:lncRNA